CGCAAUGGGGUUACAUGAUAGCUUACAUGAUAGCCUACUUUAUGAUGGGGGACCACAUGGUGUAAAGAUGCUGCAGUGGGGUUACAUGAUAGCUUACAUGAUAGCAUUAGUUUUAUAAAGAGAAGAAAAAAUUAAAAAAAAAAAUUGAACGUGUAAAGGGCUACACGAUAGAACGUGUAGCCCUCGUGUAACCAUCUCCCGCAACGGUUACACGAUAGCACAUUUACACGAUAGCCCUAUCGUGUAAUGGCUAUCGUGUAAC
rnacentral:lncRNA from 1 species